rnacentral:rRNA from 1 species
UACGGAGGGUGCGAGCGUUGUCCGGAAUCACUGGGCGUAAAGGGCUCGUAGGCGGCCAACUAAGUCAGACGUGAAAUCCCUCGGCUUAACCGGGGAACUGCGUCUGAUACUGGAUGGCUCGAGUUUGGGAGAGGGAUGCGGAAUUCCAGGUGUAGCGGUGAAAUGCGUAGAUAUCUGGAGGAACACCGGUGGCGAAGGCGGCAUCCUGGACCAACACUGACGCUGAUGAGCGAAAGCCAGGGGAGCAAACGGG